UGGUGGAGAGAGGGAUAAGAGCUAGGGAAAAGGAAAGAGGAAGAAAAUUAGGGUUUGCUUUCUCACUUGCCUUUUGUCAAGCUUCUCUGUUUUCCUGUGGUCCUUCUGCUGUCCAGUUCUUACAACACUUGCUUUAGUGUCAAAGUUUCACGUCAUAUUCCCAGCCAGAAGAAAACUCUUCAUGUGACUUUGUUUCAUUAACAGGGAGAAUUUCUGCUAUAGAAGGUUUUUUAUUUUUAAGAAAGAAGUAAAACAACACUGUCAGAGAGUAAUUGACUUUUAUGAGGGUUCCAGUUUUUAAUAACUGUUCUUUCCACCUGGGCUUGUACUUCCUUAAAUUGACUAAACUCAUCCCAAAUACUGUAGGCAGCACUGCCAUGUCACUACCGUGGGUGUGAGUAACUAAUGUAAAGGCUGUGAAUGGUGUCAUGAGUUAGAAGCCAGAGCCCACGGCUGUGUGACAUCUCUCUUGCAUUUCCAGAAAUGUGAAAUUUGAGGUGUGAGGCUUUUCUGUGUGGCCAGGCAAUUCUCCUUAAAGUCAGCAGAAGAUGCGUGACAGCUCUUCAGCAGCAGUGAAAAUGCGUCCCUAGUACUUAACUCUAUCAAAAAAUUACACAUUUAGCACCAGAAAACAUGUGGCAGCAUUAUUUGGUAAUGACUGCUUAGGAUGUUUUGAUUUCAAUUACAACUCGGGCCUUUUAUUUCUAAUUACUGCUAUACAUGAUUUUUUUUUCAUGCCCAAACCGGUCUAAGUGACUUUCAUUUUACUGAAAUAACAACCUCUUUAGUCCUUGGAUUUCUUUGCAGCAUCAUCUGCAUUUGCUAGCUAGAUACUUCUAAAAAGUAUACUGCUGCAUACUUCUCCAAAGACUAUGACUUCAGCAGAUAUAACAUUCACCCACCAUGACUCGGUUUAAGUGCAAGCAGGAUAAAGUAGAAACAUGGGCACCUCUAAAGGUCAAGCAUAGAUGAAUAAACCACACACAGAGAAAAGGGAAAUUAACUAAAUAAAGUCUUUCUUAAGUUAAAAUAAGUCAACACCUGAGAAAUUUUCAAAUUCAAAACAGGGCCUUCCCCCCUUUCAAGCUACAUUAAGGAACCUUUAGCACUUAACUUUAACACAACUUCACAUCGGCUUUUUCAGCAAGUGUUGACUCGUUUGGUUUUGUCAGGUUUCACAUCAUUUACAAUAAACAUUAUGUAUGUCUAAUAUUUCCCUGUAGGCAAUAAAACACCCUAAGAUAUGUUGAAAGGGGCACAGCUGAGUGCCUCAGAUUCCUAGAAGAGUACUUAUUUUACAAUCUCGGAAGUAUGGUUCUUUGUAGUGAAUUUUUAUUCUACCACGUAUGAUUUUUUUUUUUCCUCAGUAGACCACUUCUGUUUCUUGGAAACCAUGAGGUUUUUUCUCUAAGGUUUACAGAAAUCAUUCUACCCACUAGGAUGGUGAGAAACCCAUCAGGAUUCUUCUAAGCUAACACAAUUUUUACUUCAGUGUUAAAGCACCUUCUUUGGUUGACAAAGGGAAUCUUGGAAAAGACCAAAGCUCUCUGGUAUCUGCUUUUUUUUUUAAAGAAGAAAAAAUCCUAUCCAAUACCCAUCUGCAGGUAUCUGAGUUUGCAUAGUCCUGUUAUACUAACAUCCAGCAUGGUAACUUGAGGGAGUCAGAGAAUCAAAUGCCUCACUAUGUACAAAAAUGUGUAUUUAUAAUUCUCUGAAAUGAAUGAAAUUCUACUGUUUAGUGAGAAAUCUACUCAUGUUUAUUCCAAGUUGGUUUGUGUAAUUAGAUAUCAUUGUUCAAAAUGUCUUUAGAAUAGUUGCGCAACAGCAUAUUUGAGAAAAUUCCUUCUUUCAGUCAAGUGAAGGUGCGCAUCUGAAGGGGAAAUAUCGUAUGUUACACUUGAAAUGUACAAAUGUGCCCUGUAUAGCUUAAAAUGAUCCUUAAAUGUCUCCAUUAAGUAUAUUUUGUCUUUACAUUAUUAGUAACUGAAUAAGAACUGGAUUAUUUUCAAGACGACAUGAGUAAAAGAAGUAUUGUUAUAUCAAGCACUUUAACAUACAUACCACAAACUGACAUGAGUUUUUCAGGUUUUGAAGUACAUUGAAAUACAGCUUUUCAUGCUAUGUCCUUUACAAAUAAAACUGUGAGAAUAA
ensembl:lncRNA